rnacentral:rRNA from 1 species
GAUGAACGCUAGCGGCAGGCCUAACACAUGCAAGUCGAGGGGCAGCAGACCAUUUCGGUGGUGCUGGCGACCGGCGCACGGGUGAGUAUCGCGUUUGUAACCUACCCUUAACUGGGGGAUAGCCCGGAGAAAUUCGGAUUAAUACCCCAUAAUAUUUAAGCACGGCAUCGUGCUUUCAUUAAAGCUCCGGCGGUUAAGGAUGGGCAUGCGUGACAUUAGUUUGUUGGUGAGGUAAUGGCUCACCAAGACUACGAUGUCUAGGGGGUCUGAGAGGAUGAUCCCCCACACUGGUACUGAGACACGGACCAGACUCCUACGGGUGGCUG